UAACAUAAUAUUCAGUGCCGUCUAAUUUGAGUAUAAUGAAGUCUGUUUCUUGUGAUGUUUUCUGUCCUCAGAUACAGAGAGCUGUGAAAGCCUGUCUGCAGCAGUUCUCAGUCCUGGUUCUGGGGACUCAAAGGGGCACAUUGUUGUUUUCUGUCCUCAGAUACAGAGAGCUGUGAAAGCCUGUCUGCAGCAGUUCUCAGUCCUGGUUCUAGGGACUCAAAGGGGCACAUUGUUGUUUUCUGUCCUCAGAUACAGAGAGCUGUGAAAGCCUGUCUGCAGCAGUUCUCAGUCCUGGUUCUGGGGACUCAAAGAGGCACAUUGUUGUUUUUGCGUCAGCACUGCCCAGCUGAUUCAAAUGAUCUACUCAUCAUCAAGCUUCCAGAGAUACUUUGCAACUGGAGACUCCGUCAAAACGAUUGGCUACAGUUACCGCGUAGGGCACUGCAGGGUUGGGCGCAUUGCUGCGAGUGUUACCAGGGCCAUUUGGGACUGCCUCAUGGGGGAAUUCAGGUGUGUGAAGGCUACCUGUGUCCUGCAUAACUUCAUGAGGAUGGACACGAGGACAAGGAGAGGAUCUGCAGCUCAAAUUUUUUUGUUCAGUAUAGAUCCUCUAUGAGGCUGUGCAGGGAUCCAGAUUGUGGAUUUAAGAGAAAAUAGGAUUUGUAAGCGUACAAUGACACAUUUGUUUUUAAGUCUGGGAUUUUCUAGCCCCUUGAUAUUAUUGUUGGAUCUGAUUUUAAUGGCCAUAAUAAAUAGAUAUGCUGAUAGGGGACAACCUUGUUUUACUCCUCUUGACAGUUGAAUACUUUCUGAGAAGUAGGCAUUUUUUUUUACUAGUUUACACCUGGGGUUACUAUAUAUGUAGUGAAUCCUUACCACUGCUACACCUGGCUAUCAGCGGAGCCUUGUCUGGCUGCAAAACGGUUUAUUCAGCCUCAUUUACUGCCUUUAAAAAAAAACAUAGCUCAUAUGGCUGACUUGAUUAAACAAAUGUGGUGCAUAAGAGGCAAUACUUAAUUUCGAUUAAGGCAUUACUGAGAGAGCUAAGACGGACAUAGUCAAUAUAAACAUUUGUUCAGCACUUUUGAAAUGUACAGCGACAGAAUUCCGAACAUGGGCCGUUCUUAGAGUAUUCUUCCUGUACACCAAGUCAGGAAAAACGGCGGCGUAUAAGCAGACAAUGAAAGCUCUUACAAUAUUCAACAAUUACAUUUCUCUAAAACAAGCUAUGGGCUACAUGUGCACCACCAAGUCAGAACAGUUGGCUAAAUUCUGAGGGGGAAAGGCACAUGGGAUAGAACAGCUUACUACACAACAUACACUUCGUAUGACUUUCUUAGCUACAGUAUACAUAUCUCCCUGGCAUAUUACAUCAUUUAUGCAGCAGCAUACAAGACAUGAUUGGACUCCCCUUGAGGCGUGGCCGUCCUUCUUGUGGGUACAUUUUCAUCAAAGUCCGGCAUUCUCUAGAUUUAUGGUGCUUUCAAGAAUCACGAUGACAUCAUUGAUCUUCAUGUCGGAGCUCUAGAAAGAGGCCCGAGUUCCUGACUUGGAAUGAUGACAUCAUUGAUCUUCAUGUCAGAGCUCUAGAAAGAGGCCCGAGUUCCCGACUUGGAAUUCCGAGUUGGAUGACCGUUCAAAACAUAUUUUCCCAGUCGGAGCUCGUUUUUUCAGAGUUCCCAGUUGUCUUGAACUCAAUGAAGUCUGAUAUUUCCCAGUUCCGAGUUUCCAGUUGUUUUGAACUCGGCAGAAGUCAAGCUGGAUUGAAAGCAUGGCCAGUGUAUUCAACCUUUCAUUUUCAUGAAAAUGCUUAUCCUUUACAGCUUGGAAAAUAUACUUUUUCAGAUAGAUGUUAUAAACCCAGACUUGGCCCACACAACCUCUCCACCGAAUAGCAGAAAGGGGAAGCAAAAUAAAUUAUUGCUUUGCGACACUUGCAGUUAGCCAUUGAUUCCUUCCAAACCACUCAUUGUUGAAUUUAUGAUUUACGACUUGUGUAAUGUUUAUGUCCAAUGGCUGAUGAGCAGAGGUACAUUGUAUCUAUAAUUUCUCUUGAUAUGACAAGGAUUGAAAAUGAUUUGCCAGUAGAUUGUCGACGUGAUUCAUGAUGACAACUGCUUUUCUAGCUUGCUAGCUGAGAUUUGUAAGUAUGAUGUUGACAUCAUCUGUCACGUUCUGACCAUCGUUCGUGUGUGUUUUCCUUGUUUUAGUGUUGGUCAGGACGUGAGCUGGGUGGGCAUUCUAUGUUGUGUGUCUGGUUUGUCUAUUUCUAUGUUUGGCCUGAUAUGGUUCUCAAUCAGAGGCAGGUGUUAGUCAUUGUCUCUGAUUGGGAACCAUAUUUAGGUAGCCUGUUUUGUGUUGGGUUUUGUGGGUGAUUGUUCCUGUCUUUGUGUUUGUGGCACCAGAUAGGACUGUUUCGGUUUUUUCACAUUUCUUGUUUUGGAGAUUGUGGUAUUUUCAUCUUUAUUAAAGAUGGACAAAACUAA